rnacentral:rRNA from 1 species
UACGGGAGGCAGCAGUGGGGAAUAUUGCACAAUGGGCGCAAGCCUGAUGCAGCCAUGCCGCGUGUAUGAAGAAGGCCUUCGGGUUGUAAAGUACUUUCAGCAGUGAGGAAGGUGGGUAUGUUAAUAGCAUACUCAUUUGACGUUAGCUGCAGAAGAAGCACCGGCUAACUCCGUGCCAGCAGCCGCGGUAAUACGGAGGGUGCGAGCGUUAAUCGGAAUUACUGGGCGUAAAGCGCAUGCAGGUGGUUUGUUAAGUCAGAUGUGAAAGCCCGGGGCUCAACCUCGGAAUUGCAUUUGAAACUGGCAAACUAGAGUACUGUAGAGGGGGGUAGAAUUUCAGGUGUAGCGGUGAAAUGCGUAGAGAUCUGAAGGAAUACCGGUGGCGAAGGCGGCCCCCUGGACAGAUACUGACACUCAGAUGCGAAAGCGUGGGGGCAAACAGGAUUAGAUACCCUGGUAG